GGUCCGGUGGCGGAAUAGGUAUACGCGCGACACUUAAAAUGUCGUGUCCGCAAGGACGUGUGGGUUCGAUUCCCACCCGGACCA
rnacentral:tRNA from 1 species